CGAUCUCUAUUGUGUCCGGAAUCGCUUAAGACGUCCCCGCCCCUUCUUCUGACAGCACGUUCCAGUCUAUUUCGAGGAGGAUCGAUUGUUUUCCUGAGAAAACUCGGCGGCGUCUGGGUGUAAUGUAGGAAAUAUUAUGCAGAGGGGCAGGAACGUGAACGAGGAGGGUUUUAUUUUCUCAUUUGAAGAGUCAGGGAGGUUUCUGACGCAGGAGAAAGUGGAGAAUCUUGGCUUUCCGGACUUAUCUGUGAAGGCCAUCUCCAGCCACAUCCAGCUUGGCACGAACAGCACAACGGGGCAAUCUAGCACCCUCAUUACAUACCUGCCACUCUAAUUACAAGCUGCUCAAGAGAUGUUAUUCUACACCCGCCGGUGACAAUGACAGCGCCUCCGUCUCCCCGCUCCUCUCCACCUUUGUGUAACAGGGCGCCGAGUGCAACACAACACCCCUGAAAAUAAAUGAAGCUUCCACGGCAAGGCGAAUACGUCUUUAUAACACACAAAACUCUGAAGACUACUGAAGGUCCUGAAGACUUUCCUGUGGUGGAAAACCUCUUGAUUGUAAACAAGAGCAGACUCUUCGAUUUUGCUUUUUUUUUUUUUACAUCUUUGUUCAGCAGUCCUUUCUUUCAUUUGUCUUGAUUUAUUGUAGUAUUCACCUUACAAGUCCUGGUGAAAGGGUUACUAUAGAAAUGAUAAGGUGUUAAUAUAAGCACAGACUGGAAUAUAAACUAAUAAAGCGUUAAAUAAGGACAUGUAUAUGAGGUUGCAAUUUCUAUGUAUAUUAUACAAGUGAGAAGGUGGGUUUUAGCACAUGAUUGAGGAAUCUAUAAGCCAACACAUUCGUAUUGCAUAAUAAGCGCUCGACUUCACGCCAUUCGAUCACGUCUAGGUACAAAUAAAUUCCUCCUUAGGCCAUUGUCAGGCUGAAAAAGGGAACCGCUCCCUUUUUCCUAAACAUGGAGUAAAAAUGUAUAAAUGCCCCCCCCCUCUCUAUUUUUUCCCCCUUCUUUUCCAGAGUCCACAUUAGGCAGCAUGGAUGGCUCUUAAAAGGCUUACGACGGCCGUUUAGCAUCAGUAGCGCCAGCUUACCAUGGCCGUGUCAAGAUAACAUGCAAGCAUCCGCUGGGUUUUCAUUGGCUGUCAGAUGUGAUUUUACAGUGGCUGAGAGGAAGCGCAGCGCAGCGCUAAAAGAUGCGCUCACAAAGCCAAGACAAGGACAGGGGAUUUAAAAAUAGCAGGAAAAAGAGAGGGAUUGUGUGUGUGUGUGUGUGUGUGUGGAGCCUCCAGAUGAUUAUACUCGAGAUGAAAUUGGAUACAGGCUAAUGUUGAUGAAUCGGUGGUACAUUUUGAACCGGACCAAGUGCUUGUAAUAGCGCUGCGUUAAAGACUCACACGUCCCUUAUUACUACUUGACUGAAAGGAAGGGAUGGAUAUUGGCACCUGCACGCUGCUGAUAGGCAGCCUAAAUCCCCCCUGUGUCCCAGCCAGGGUCCAAACCAGCAGCCCUUGGCCUGUGCACACCACUGAGCCUCACUUUAUCACAUCAGACACCUCGCUAGAUCACCGAGAGCUGAUUACACCCUCACACCCUGCUACACAAUACAGUACACUGAAGGACUGCAGGGAGCAAGCCAUUAACGCCUGGGAGGAAACGGACACCCACAAUGCACUGCUGUUUUUACAGCGCUCUCAUCGCGAACCGCUAGAUGACGGUUGGCGAGGCGACACACGCGAUGGUUUUCAAACCUCGGAAAAUCAUCUGGGCAGGAAAUGAAAUCAUAAAACAGUGUAAGCGUGUUUAAGACGUUCGAGUGUCUCGGCGUAAGAGCUUUGGAGGGACCUCGAAUCCUGAAGUCAUUUAGAAUAAGAACGUUAGAUCUGCUACGUUUGGCAAAAUGAACAGAAAUAUCAGAAUCUUACAGCUCAAGCAUGAUCUCUGUCUAGGGAGCUGUUUGCAGUUAGACCUCAAAGCAAGCUUUUAUUUAUUAAUUUGUGUUAGAUCUUAUUUACCAGCCUAGUCAUUUGUUUUUUCUUCUUUAAAUCCGUCGGAUUGUGUGAAAACAGAAACGUCUGGUGAAUUUUUUGGCGAGUAAUGGACGUAUCUGUUGACGGAGUGGAUAUAUGGCUAAUGCUAGUAGACUAAUUGGAGAGGAGAGACGGUAAGCCGAGACAGCGGGGUGUCAGUGUAGCACCAUGUGAGCGCACACCUGGUAGUGUGAACCAGAAUACGCUAGUAAUGAGUGUUAAAGUGCAGGAGUGUACAGUAGGUCCUCGGAAUACACCCCAUGUCAAGCAUCUAUAAUCUCCGUCUCAUUAUCCACCUCGAAAAAAACAAGAACUGCCCAUUACGUCCUGAACGGCUGUGCAUUAGGAGAAAUCUGCACGCUAAAUAAUUACCCUCCGUGUGAGAAUCUCUGUAUCUUCAGCGUAUAAUAACAGGUUUGUGGAGAGAUGAGUAAUCUGGCUGGUUCCUCCCCUCGCUACAGGCCGAGAUAAUAAUUGCCGUAUUAAUUGGUGUUGUCCAAGCUAGACGGAGUAUAAGAGAUCCCACUGGGGCUAAUAAUUAAGGUUUUUUUUCCCUCUCUCUCUCCUCAGGUUCCCGCUUCUUCUUCCUCUCCUACCUGUCUCCUUCCUCGCUUCUCAUCUGUGGUCUGCUCUGCGGUAUCAUUAGGAAAGGGUUUCUUAGGAGAAGCAACUCAGAGACUCAUUAGAGUAUUUUUAGAUUAGGCCUCGGCAACAAGAGUAUUGUCUGCACCUUGUUAUGUUUGUUUAGAUUCUGUAAUCUUUUGUUUCAAAAAACGAUACGCGGGGUAUUAGGCGAGUGCCGUGGUUCUUGGACGUCUGCAGGGGUGAAAGGCUUUGAUAAGGCCUGUCUUAGAUGCAUGGGCCUUAUAUUUACAAAGGGAAACGUUCUAGUAAUUAAAGUCAGGCUGCAUGCUUCGGGAUCCCCAUUCACAUUAUUCAAAUCACCUGCCUGUAGGUAACGCCUCCAUUUUUCUUUAGUACAAACAUUUAGAACACGGCUUUGAAAAACAAAAAUCUGAAACAAAACAGGGAUAGAAAAUGCUGACUGAAAAAAAUCAGGGAUUUAAAAUGCUGACAGAAAAAAAUCAGGGCUAGAAAAUGCUGACUGAAAAAUAUCAGGAAUAGAAAAUUCUGAAUAAAAAAAAAUAAGGGCUAGAAAAUGCUGACUGAAAAAAAUCAGGGCUAGAAAAUGCUGACUGAAAAAAAAUAAGGGAUAAAAAAUUCUGAAUAAAAAAAAAUCAGGGAUAGAAAAUGCUGAAUAAAAAAAAAACAGGGGUAGAAAAUGCUUCCUGAAAAAAAGAGAAAAAAUUCUGAAUGGAAAAGAAAUCAGGGCUAGAAAAUGCUGACUAAAAAUAAUCAUGGAUAGAAAAUUCUGAUAAAAAAGUCAGGGAUAGAAAAUUCUGACUGAAAAAUAUCAGAGAUAUAAAAUUCUGACUGGUCAAUAUUUUUUCUUUGCUUUUAAAUCUAACAUGAUGACCACUCUGAUACAUGAUAACUCCUCAUUGUUAUGAUCACAUUAAAUGCUUUUGUUAAAUAUCCAAUUCAUCUAAUGCACCCUUUUGGGUGUGAAAAUUUCCUUAACCAGUAUUUUCUAACAGAUCUGAAAAAAUAGAAUCCAUUGGUGCAUUUGUUCUGUGCUAAACUUGUAACUGUUCCUUUUUUUGUAGCUGUCAUAUAGUUAAAGUGUGUAUUUGGACGUGUGUGAAAGUUUAAAUAAUAAACGAAGACCUGAUGUGAUUUAUAAAGUCAGCUGACUGGAAUGAAUUGCCUCGAGUCACGCCAGAGAAGACGGGUUUCCUUUCUUGUUAGAGAUCUAAACCUGCGUCCUCGUCUUCAUCUCUGCUUUUGUUGCUUGGUCUGUUUCUUAACGUCUGCUUACGUUAUUUGUUUAAACCUCAAAUCAAAUCUUAGCCUGAUUUUUAUGUUUAUUUAGUGAAUUUCACUUCAGUGCAAUUUGGAAUCAGUGAAACCUGGCUUUAUAGCAGUCAGUGUAAUAAUCCUGACCUCCUCCAUUUCCCACUAAUCUUCAGGGCAGCA